AAACUGUUGCUGCGCGUUACUUAAUAACGUGAUGUCACUGUUACGCAUCAUCAUGUAAUGCAGCUCUGCUUCAUAUGCAGCGGCAGAUCACACAGCAGCUCAGACAGCAGCUGUGUGAUCUGAGCUUCAGAGGGAUGACGAGUUUCUCUGCUUACUGAGAAGAAGAAAAAGUAAAUCACAUACCGACAAACAUCGUUGGAUUUCUCUGUUUGUUGUUGGAAACUUCGCCUGCUUCAGCCUCCACAAACACGAGAGAGAAACAAAAAGAGAUCACUGCACAUCAGCCGAGCUUCUGCCAGCUGUCCUUUACCACGGGAACCAUGGUGCCAGCAGUCCUCAAGUUGUAUUUCAUUGGAACGGCGCUGAGCAUCCUUGCAGUCUUUUAUGGAUUAGUAGACUCCUUUGGUGGCCUGAUGUACGUCCAGGACCAUCACUACAUUUUGGACCUGGACCAGCAGACGCAGGGGCAGCUCUCCUCAAGCAACCACCAGAGAGAAUCGCCUGUGACUAAAAACAUCGGCUCAUAAAGGAAAACGUCUUGAUGAUGAUUUACAAAAACAAUGGCAGCUGGAUGGACUUGCCGGCUACUGAUCAGCAGACAGUGACACUUUUAUUAUCACUGGAGAUAAAUGGUCCUGGUAGCAUUGCUAGUAUGGACUUCAUUGUAUAAUGUCUGACUUGCUGGAUGUAUUCUUCAUUAGACAGCUUGUUGAUAUGAAUGCAUAAUCCCCACAGCAUGUGUUUGUAUUUUGCUCUACUUUGUAUCAUCUGCUGUACAAACACUGUAGCAGCUAGUCUGUGUUAAAGCCACAAACCUGAUAGGAAAUGUAACAGCACUACUGAACAAUGAUUUGCACUAAAAACGAGACUGUUUUGUCUUUUGUCUAUUUUGAGCUGGGGUUUUUUUCAAAUAAAAUGAAUUUUAAAAAGUCA